GACGAACGCUGGCGGCGUGCUUAACACAUGCAAGUCGAGCGAGGCUCUCUCCUUCGGGAGGGAUGCCCUAGCGGCGAACGGGUGAGUAACACGUGGGCAACCUGCCCCUAGCACUGGGAUAACUUCGGGAAACCGAGGCUAAUACCGGAUAUGACCUCUGAGGGCAUCCUCGGAGGUGUAAAGGAUUCUGGCUAGGGAUGGGCCCGCGGCCUAUCAGCUUGUUGGUGAGGUAACGGCCCACCAAGGCGACGACGGGUAGCCGGCCUGAGA
rnacentral:rRNA from 1 species